CUCCUACGGGGGGCAGCAGUGGGGAAUUUUGGACAAUGGGCGCAAGCCUGAUCCAGCUAUUCCGCGUGUGGGAUGACGGCCUUCGGGUUGUAAACCACUUUUGUAGAGAACGAAAAGUCUGUUGAUAAUACCGAUAGAUGAUGACGGUACUCUAAGAAUAAGCACCGGCUAACUACGUGCCAGCAGCCGCGGUAAUACGGAGGAUGCGAGCGUUAUCCGGAUUUAUUGGGUUUAAAGGGUGCGCAGGCGGUCUGUUAAGUCAGCGGUCAAAGCCCGGGGCUCAACCCCGGCCCGCCGUUGAAACG
rnacentral:rRNA from 1 species